rnacentral:piRNA from 1 species
UCUCAACAGACGUUUCUAGAAGAAGCAGC